AACGAAACUUUUCGUACUAGAAGACCCACACGAGUAAUCAAAUAUAUUAAAAGAAGUCAUUUAUAAGUUUUGGUAUGUAAUUUUCUAGUGUAUAAAUCUUUAAGAUAUAUACACCAGUGUCAUAUCUUUUUAUAAGAUAUGUACACGAUAGAUCACUGCAUUUAAUAGAAGAAAAUUUUAUUAAGUUAUUCUCAAACAAUAACGAAAAAAACUUAGUCUGCAAUAAAAAGGUCGACUAAGUAUAUAACCCUUUUUU
rnacentral:misc_RNA from 1 species